rnacentral:rRNA from 1 species
CACGUAGGGUGCGAGCGUUGUCCGGAUUUACUGGGCGUAAAGGGCGCGUAGGCGGCGCGGUAAGUCACUUGUGAAAUCUCUGAGCUUAACUCAGAACGGGCAAGUGAUACUGCAGUGCUAGAGUGUGGAAGGGGCAAUCGGAAUUCUUGGUGUAGCGGUGAAAUGCGUAGAUAUCAAGAGGAACACCUGAGGUGAAGACGGGUUGCUGGGCCAACACUGACGCUGAGGCGCGAAAGCCAGGGGAGCAAACGGG